UAGUCCACGCCGUAAACGAUGGAUACUAGGUGUCCGGGAAGUUAACCUCCUGGGUACUACAGCUAACGCGUUAAGUAUCCCGCCUGGGGAGUACGGUCGCAAGGCUAAAACUCAAAGGAAUUGACGGGGGCCCGCACAAGCGGUGGAGUAUGUGGUUUAAUUCGAAGCAACGCGCAGAACCUUACCUACCCUUAACAUUUCACGCUCGCCUCAGAGAUGAGGUUUUCUCUUCGGAGACGUGAGGAUAGGUGCUGCAUGGCUGUCGUCAGCUCGUGUCGUAAGAUGUCUGGUUAAGUCCAAUAACGAGCGCAACCCUUAUUUUUAAUAUUUUACGUAUUUUAAGUUUAGUUUAAAAUGCUUUAAAAAUACAAUCGAUGAUAAAUCGAAGGAAGGUGGGGAUGACGUCAAGUCCUCAUGGCCCUUACGUGGUGGGCUACACACGUGCUACAAUGGCAGUGACAAUGGGUUAAUCCCAAAAAGCUGUCUCAGUUCGGAUUGUCGGCUGCAACUCGCCGGCAUGAAGUUGGAAUUGCUAGU
rnacentral:rRNA from 1 species